CUGAUAAAGUCGUUUGAAGAUUAAGUGCCUUCACGUAUGUAAAGCUCUUAGAAGAGUGUCUGCCUUGUAGUAAGCAAUAGAUAAGUUUUUGCUGUUACUACUUUGUUGAAUCCUCACACAAAGCUCUGAAGUAGAUAUUCGUCUCUGAGGCUCAAAGAAGUUGAAUGACUUGCUCAAGGUCCCAGGUCUAUUUGAUUGACAGCAUGGGUGCCUUCUAAGGUCCUCUGUGGAGGAAGAAGCUACAGAACUCGCCUGCUCCCCACCCCAGGUCCAUUCCUGUUUGGAAACUCCAAAGCUGCUUCAUGGACAGCAGGAACAAAGGUGGAUCUCUGUCCUGCCUCUGAGGCCCGGCAUGCCUCUCGGGGCCAGGCUGCCUGGUGGCUUCAGGCCCAGCCAGAAGGCCCCUCCCACCGACUCUGGCAGCACCCAGACCUGGGAACCUCCCAGAUGCCUCACCCCACACCACUGCCCUAGGGCUCCCCCGGGGCCUCCGCCUUCCUCUCUAAUCUCCCCUCCUGGGCAAGAUGCUGGCUGCCAGACUGCAGGGACCCUUUCCAUCUCAGGGUAAACAAACUGUGGCUCCGGCCCAGCCCUCCGCCAGCUUGCUGCACCCCCACCCCCACCGCAAUCCGCAGUGCACAGUCGCUCUGUUCUCCUGCCAACUUGGCAGCUCCUCUCUGCUGUUACUAUCAACACCUCCAAGGGAAAAGGGAGAGGAGUCAGCUCUGAUCGCCUGGCGCACUGAACAGCAAAUUCGUGUCAGAGCCAGUCCUGGAAUGUCUCCCAAGCUCCCAAGGCUCCUGCUGGGGAAGGAAAGGUGGGCCCGAUCAGAGCAGCCCUGAGUGCAAACCAGCCUCCCAGCAGAGCCGCUGCGCCUGGCCAAAGCUGCAGGCCUCCACAGAGCGGGCAGCUGACAGAAAGGGCUGCAGGAGGAUGCUCGGAGGACAGGCAGGCACAUAGGAGAGAGCUGGGCUGUCUGUCUCACCCCAGCUCUUGACACAGUCCAGGGCGGGGUUGGUGGCUUUGAUUCCUGAGAUGCUUGGUCAGGGGUGGGGCAGUCUACGGCCAGUGUUGAAGAAACAGGUCUUUCUCUCUCCAGACACUGAGCCCCUGGAAUGCAUGGACUGUGCUUUCUUUCUUUCUUUUAUCCUUCUUGGACUCCUUGUGUUCAGAGCUCCUGCCUCCCUUGUCAGAUUGGAUUGGGAGCCCCUAAAGGACCACACUUUCCCCGCUAGAUGGAAACUUCCCUCAGACAGAAACCACUUUUUCCUUUUCCCAACCAUUUCCCCCAGCCUCUCAGGCCCUGCCUAUUGGCUCCUAAAGCAGCUGAUGCCCUUCUCUUGCUCCUGCCAGGACUCCUGGGCCCCAGUUGGGAAGAAGAGAGAACCCAUAUCCUCAGGGACCAAGUAUCCCCCGGAGCAAGGCCUAUCCCCAGCACAAGGAGCUCUUCUUCCAGAAAUGAAACUGAUCCUAAGACCCCCCUCUAUUUCCUGCCCCAGAAAUCUGAAAACCACCACCAGAGACCUUCCUGAUAGGAACCCUCAGGUCCCCGGAAGGCCAGCUGAGUUUCCAGGGGCCAGGAAACAGGAAAAGAGAAUUCAUUCAGUGGGCCGGGAUGUAAAUAAGCGGCAAGAGGCUGCGCCAUUCUGGGCUGCACCUGUGAGCAUCCCUCAGCUGAAGCCCUGUCAGCGUUUCCAUGACAAACUCGUAUUUCUGGAUGCCUCUCUUCCAGCUUCAAGAGCAUGCCUUGUGGUGAGACUUGACACUGAAAAUGCUUUCAUAAUUUUUUCCCCUAAAAAAGGUUGCACACUCUAAAAAUCCACCUGCUCAGUAUAUGUGUUUGCUUUUCAUUCUGAGAGUUUUGUGGGUAUUUUAUUUUUAUGGUAUAUAUGCAAACAUAUGAUAUACACGUGGGAGUUC
ensembl:lncRNA